AAGCAGUUUAACAGAAGUUAAGGCAUGUCAGUUUCUUCUAGAGAAUCCAUGUUUUUUUCUCACAUCACUUUAGAAAAAAGGAAGCCAAUUAUAUCUCAGAAAACGAUUCAAAGGUUGAGGUGGAACAUUUUAUAUUCCUUUUAUUGAAAACCAGAAAACAUAUAGGGCUGACAUGUAUCUGAGAACAUUAAGAUGCAUAAGUGGCUGCAUCUCUCAUCCGUUGAGUAAGGAAGAAUGUACGGCUUUGCUUUGGUCCUAUCUUCUGUCAAAUUUAAACAAACAAACAGCAGCAGCAACAACAACAACAACAACAACAACACCAGAGCAUAAAAUAGAAGAGAUAAAAUAAAUGUUUAUAGUUGAAUAUCUGACAUAUCUGAAUAUUGUAUAAUUUAAAUAUAUAAUUUUUUUUUUACAUUUCCUACUUUGAAUCACAGUGAUGACGGUUAAAGACUGGGUAACUGCUACAUGUCUAGGCAGCCAUUUUAUGCUGUUAUUACUGUUACAGAGAAACUUUCUCAUGUGUUGUAACUACUGUUGCUAUGAAACUUUCUCAAGCCCUAGUAGAUUGCAUAUUUUGUUAUGUUCUGCUCUUCUGUGUUCUUGAAAUCAGUCACAAUAGAGGUCAAUUAGACCUACUUUGUAUAGUUAGCCACAAUAAUCUUGGACCUGAUUUAACACUAGGAAUCCCUUCCUGCACCUGUGUAUGAGCUUUAAUGGUUUUUGCCUCAAUAAACUGUCCCUGGAUGGACCCCAACAUAAUAGCAACACCUGCACCAAUAUAAAAAGCUA
rnacentral:lncRNA from 1 species